CGUAGGGUGCGAGCGUUGUCCGGAAUUAUUGGGCGUAAAGAGCUUGUAGGCGGUCUUGUCGCGUCUGCUGUGAAAGCCCCGGGGCUUAACCCCGGGUCGUGGCAGUGGGUACGGGCAGGCUAGAGUGUGGUAGGGGAGACUGGAAUUCCUGGUGUAGCGGUGGAAUGCGCAGAUAUCAGGAGGAACACCGAUGGCGAAGGCAGGUCUCUGGCCAUUACUGACGCUGAGAGCGAAAGCGUGGGGGAGCGAACAGGAUU
rnacentral:rRNA from 1 species